AUUUUUUCUUCCCUUCUCCAUCAGUGGCAACUGCUGAGGGUACAGUUCGUGGGAGGCAGGCUCGCCGAAGAUCCACAAGACAGGGAAAGAAAGAAGGAAAGUGUCUGGCCCAGGCGGAAAAUCAAGUGUACCUUACACCUGGGAUUUCAUACUACGGCCCUCCUGCGCAUGCGUGCCAGUACUGCGGCGCGCAGUUCUGGCACCAAGAGCGCGUG